rnacentral:rRNA from 1 species
UACAGAGGCGACGAGCGUUAUAGAUGAUAACUGGGCGUAAAACAUGUACAGGCGGAUAUGAUCGAAAGCUUAGUAGAAAUGUUUGCACAUUGGUGCAAAUCUAACUUCGCACUGAAUAUCUUGAGAUAUACAGGGGAUAAUAGAAAAUAAUGUGGUACUAUAGGAUUUCCAAUACUAUAUUAGGUAAUACCAAAGGCGAAGGCAUUUAUCUGGGUAUAUUCUGACGCUGAAGACAUGAAACAUUAGGGAGUGAGCGGG